rnacentral:rRNA from 1 species
AAAUUGAAGAGUUUGAAUCAUGGCUCAGAUUGAACGCUGGCGGCAGGCCUAACACAUGCAAGUCGAACGGUAACAGGAAGAAGCUUGCUCUUUGCUGACGAGUGGCGGACGGGUGAGUAAUGUCUGGGAACUGCCUGAUGGAGGGGGAUAACUACUGGAAAUCGGUAGCUAAUACCGCAUAACGUCGCAAGACCAAAGAGGCGGACCUUCG